rnacentral:rRNA from 1 species
UACGUAGGUGGCGAGCGUUGUCCGGAAUUAUUGGGCGUAAAGAGCAUGUAGGCGGCUUUUUAAGUCGGGCGUGAAAAUGCGGGGCUUAACCCCGUAUGGCGUUCGAAACUGGAGGGCUUGAGUGCAGGAGAGGAAAGGGGAAUUCCCAGUGUAGCGGUGAAAUGCGUAGAUAUUGGGAGGAACACCAGUGGCGAAGGCGCCUUUCUGGACUGUGUCUGACGCUGAGAUGCGAAAGCCAGGGUAGCAAACGGG